AUCAAUCAUUAUAGUUCUUUUAUUCUAAUUAUCUAAUUAUUCUAUUAUUAUACUCCCCUCUCCUCAGAGCCUCCACGUGUCUCUCUUAACGUUGAACCCCAUUUGUACCUAAAGGAGGGCGACAUGCAGCAGGUCAGCUGUUAUGCAAAGACUUACUACCCUCUGGACGUGGAUAUAAAGUGGUACGUGCAGGAGCCGACAGGUCAGAGGAAGCUCGAGAACGUUUUUCUGUCCGGCCACAAACCCACCAAGGACAAGACCUUCACGAUGAUGUCUUACUUCAACCUCCGGGCUUCACUCAGGGACUCGGGGAGACAGUUCACAUGCAGCGUCUCCCAUCAGUCUCUGGGAGUGCCCAUCAGAAAGAGCUUCAUCCUGACUGUUGAAGAUCCAACCACCUGGAUGUUUUACUUCAGCAUUGGCUUCUCUCUGUUGUCACUGAUGUUCCUCGUGCUUGCAUCGAGGAGGAAGAUGCCAAGGUUUGCCAAGAGUUUUUGUAACAUUGCAUCGUUGUUGCUCCGCAGCAGGAAGUUUUAAACCCAUUUUUUGAACAGCUAACUUUGUUCAAGGGCUUUCCAGGACCAACAUUAGAAGAACUUCGUUUACUGUUUACAACUACGUUUACAACGUUGCAGCAGAGGACGCACUUUCUGAGAGGGCUUAUGCUGUGUUCACAACAAACACGAUGCAAAUUUUCGUGUCCUGUUGCUAGUGCAUAUGUGGUCGCUGGAGAAUUUUUGGAAAAAUUUGACCUCAACAGCUGCUCUAACGGUUGCACUAGUUAGCUAAAUGAAGGAGACAGCUAGCACAAUAAAAGACCAUAUUAAGUUACCCAAAGCAUUUUGCUGAGAACCUACUCAACAAAAACAGCAUCCACAAGUCACAGGUAUAUUUCCAGAACUCCCCGUGUCACAUUAUGGUUUUGCAGGCCUCAAAGUCCUUAUUUGUUCAGUCUCUGUACUGACGUUGAAUGUAGCUCCGGGUGCGCACAGAUAGCGUCAUUGUUCGUCAUCAAAAUAAUAAACAGCAAUAGUUUCACUCAGGGUCCAGAAUACUGUAACCUUUCUAUUUAUUAUUAUCUGGCUUGGUUACACUUGGUUUUACUGCUUGAAACUGGUUAAUUUUAUGUGGUUGUGUUAUGGUUUUAGUAUUUUUAAUUAGUCUGAUUUUAUCUGGUUUUAUUGUGGGAAACUUUAUUUUUAAUCAUUUUUAUAAUUUAUGGAGUGAAUUAAUUUAGGCACAUCAUUGCAUGUGUUUAAAUGUGUGAUGUCUGUAUGUGUUUGGCUCACCUGAAGGAACAUUGCAACAGCAUUGGCUACUGAAACAAUCCUAACUUUUUGCAAUUUUUUUUUUUUUUUCAAAAAUUUAAUUUGUUAAAAAAUCAGUAACAAUGAAUACAAAUCAAAGCGGGGGGUUUAAUUUUCUGGACUCCACAACUAAACAUUACAUUCAGAAUUAAUUGGCUUAGACUGUUUAUUAACCAGUCUUAACCUGGGCAAACUGAUUUCUUUCCAAAACAUGGAAAGAAGGCAACAAGCAAUUUGAGGAGAAAUUAACCAAAAUUAACUAAUUAGUAAAAAGUGAAGUAAAAUCCCUGUAAAU